rnacentral:rRNA from 1 species
GACGAACGCUGGCGGCGUGCUUAACACAUGCAAGUCGAACGACGACGCGCCAGCUUGCUGGUGUGGCUUAGUGGCGAACGGGUGAGUAACACGUGAGUAACCUGCUCCCUACUCUGGGAUAAGCCUGGGAAACUGGGCUUAAUACUGGACAUGACACAUCCCUGCAUGGUGUGCAGGGGGAAAGCUGUUGUGGUGGGGGAUGGACUCGCGGUCUAUCAGCUGGUUGGUGGGGUAGUGGCCUACCACGGCGACGACGGUUAGCCGGCCUGAGAGGGCGACCGGCCACACUGGGACUGAGACACGGCGCAGACUCCUACGGGAGGCAGCAGUGGGGAAUAUUGCACAAUGGGCGAAAGCCUGAUGCAGCGACGCCGCGUGAGUGAUGACGGCCUUCGGGUUGUAAACCUCUUUCACCAGGGACGAAGCUAACGUGACGGUACCUGGAGAAGAAGCACCGGCUAACUACGUG